rnacentral:rRNA from 1 species
GAAAAUCAAGGCUGAGGCGUGAUGACGAGGCACUACGGUGCUGAAGCAACAAAUGCCCUGCUUCCAGGAAAAGCCUCUAAGCAUCAGGUAACAUCAAAUCGUACCCCAAACCGACACAGGUGGUCAGGUAGAGAAUACCAAGGCGCUUGAGAGAACUCGGGUGAAGGAACUAGGCAAAAUGGUGCCGUAACUUCGGGAGAAGGCACGCUGAUAUGUAGGUGAAGCGACUUGCUCGUGGAGCUGAAAUCAGUCGAAGAUACCAGCUGGCUGCAACUGUUUAUUAAAAACACAGCACUGUGCAAACACGAAAGUGGACGUAUACGGUGUGACGCCUGCCCGGUGCCGGAA